GGACGAACGCUGGCGGCGUGCCUCAUACAUGCAAGUCGAGCGAACUGACUCGGUCAGUUAGCGGCGGACGGGUGAGUAACACGUGGGUAACCUGCCCUAAAGACCGGGAUAACAUCCUGAAAGGGAUGCUAAUACCGGGUGUGGUCUUUGCUCCGCAUGGAGUGAAGAAGAGAGGAGCAAUCCGCUUUAGGAUGGACCCGCGUCCCAUUAGCUAGUUGGUAGGGUAAUGGCCUACCAAGGCGACGAUGGGUAGCCGACCUGAGAGGGUGAUCGGCCACACUGGGACUGAGACACGGCCCAGACUCCUACGGGAGGCAGCAGUCGGGAAUAUUGGGCAAUGGGGGAAAAACCCCCUGACCCAGCAACGCCGCGUGAGUGAAGAAGGCCUUCGGGUCGUAAAGCUCUGUCCUCGGGGACGAAGAAUGACGGUACCCGAGAAGAAAGCCACGGCUAACUACGUGCCAGCCGCCGC
rnacentral:rRNA from 1 species